AAUCAUCACACAACCCAUGUAAUAUAUAAGGGAAAGAGAUACAUAGUUGGAUUACAAUUGCCACUUCACACAAUUACAUGAAUAAAGCAUUACAUCAUCCAAAUACAAUCAAGGUCCGACUACGAAACCAAAAUAAAAGAAGAACCCCAAAUGCGACACGGUCCCCGAUCGACCCCAACUGGGCUCCACUACUGAUCAACUAGAACGAAACAACACAAAGGACAAGAUCUUCAUCGAGCUCCUCUGUGAGCUUGGUUGCGCCAUCUGCACGGUUCAACGGCACCUGCAAGCUGGUUUGGAAGUAUCUGUGAGUCACGGGGACUCAGCAAUCUCGCACCCUCGCGAUCAAGACUAUUUAAGCUUAUGGGUAAGGUAAAAGGUAUGAGGUGGAGCUGCAGCAAGCGACUAGCAUAUAUGGUGGCUAACAUAUGCAAAUGAGAGCGAGACGAGAAGGCAAAGCACGGUCGAUAAAAGUAUGAUCAAGAAGUGAUCCUAGAACAACCUACGUCAAGCAUAACUCCAACACCGUGUUCACUCCCCGGACUCCGCCGGAAAGAGACCAUCACGGUUACACACGCAGUUGAUUCAUUUUAAUUAAGUUAAGGUUCAAGUUAUCUACAACUGGACAUUAACAAAUUCCCAUCUGCCCAUAACCGCGGGCACGGCUUUCGAAAGUUCAAAUCCCUGCAGGGGUGUCCCUACUUAGCCCAUGACAAGCUCUCACGGUCAACAAAGGAAUAGACCUCCUCCCGAGACAUUCCGAUCAGGCUCGGUAUCCCGGUUCUACAAGACAUCCUCGACAAUGGUAAAACAAGUCCAGCAAGACCACCCGCUGUGUCGACAAAUCCCGAUAGGAGCUGCACAUAUCUCGUUCUCAGGGCACACCGGAUAAGCUAAGCGUACAGGAGCCGACAUAACCCAAGUUGCCAAGGGAUGGCCCUGCACGGUGCUCUGGGUUGGACCAACACUUAGAGGAGCACUGGCCCGGGGGGGUUAAAAUAAGAUGACCCUUGGGCUGGCCUAACCCAAGGGAAAAAGAGGCUAGGUGGCAAAUGGUAAAACCAAGGUUGGGCCUUGCUGGAGGAGUUUUAUUCAAAGCGAACUGUCAAGGGGUUCCCAUUAUAACCCAACCGCGUAAGGAACGCAAAAUCCGGGAACAUAACACCGAUAUGAUGGAAACUAGGGCGGCAAGAGUGGAACAAAACACUAGGCAUAAGGCCGAGCCUUCCACCCUUUACCAAGUAUAUAGAUGCAUUAAUUAAAUAAGAUAUAUUGUGAUAUCCCAACAAGUAAACAUGUUCCAACAAGGAACAACAUCUCCAUGUUCCAACAAGGAACAAACUUUAAUCUUCACCUGCAACUAACAACACUAUAAGAGGGGCAGAGCAAAGUGAUAACAUAGCCAAACAACGGUUUGCUAGGACAAGGUGGGUUUGAGGCUUGGUUCAACAAUAUGGGAGACAUGAUAAGCAAGUGGUAGGUAUCGCAGCAUAGGCAUAGCAAAAGAGCGGGCAACUAAGCAAGUAAAGAUAGAAGUGAUUUCGAGGGUAUGAUCAUCUUGCCUGAGAUCCCGCAAGGAAGAAGAACGAGUCCAUGAAGAAGACAAACGGACGUAGUCGAAUGAAUCCUCACAACACGACGUUAUCGGAACCAACCCGAAGAAGCAACACCGGAAAGAAGCAAACAAUCAUGGUGAACAAACAUCACAUAAGCAUGGCACGAUGCGCAAACAAGUAUGAUGCAUGUCCGGUUUAAUGAUAAAUGGCAUGGCAAAAUGCACAAGCAAUACUACAAAUUAAGUGGAGCUCAAUAUGCAACUUCGUUGCAUAUUGAUGAAACACCAUGUGACUUAUUAAGUUCGAUCUUGUUUAUGUACCCAACAAUAUUAAAUGUUGUUAAACAUGGCAAGAGGGUGAAGCAAAGAAAACUACCUAUCUAGUCAAGUUUAAAUGAGGCCAGAAAUAACGAACAACAAUUUCCGAAAACUCCUCAUAUGCAUAUAUUAGAUUCGGUACUGUUCUGCCCUAAACACAAUUUUAGGGUUGUUAAACAUGCAAAGAGAUGCCACCAUGUUAAACUAUGCAAAAUUCUACCCCAUUUACAUAUAAAGAUUAUUAAAUUCCGAGUUACAGUUAUUUAGUUAUGAAUUAAGUCAUUUUAGCAUGGCAUAGGGGCAAAUUAAAACAAACAACAUUUUAAACAUGGAUGGAAAUGACAUAUUAUGAAACUACACAAAAUUCUAAGCAACUUUCAUAUAUAAAUCAUUUUAUUCCGAUGCAUAGAUGAUGAGUUAUUAUAUGCAUGAAAUAGGAGGAUUUUUUCUGUAAAAACUGCUGACUUUGGAAAAAAUAGACAAAUUGCAGAACUGAAAAAAAACAGAGGCGGGCCGAAACACAGAAGGCUGGCCCAACCGGAGGGAAAAGAAAAAAAACAAAAGAGGGGCGCGGGUGCCCUCACCAUGGGCUUCGGCCCAGUCAGUGCAGCGGGCCGGCUUGCGCUGGCGGAACUGGACCGCGAGGACGCAGCCCACGCGGACGCGGUCAACGGUGACGGGCGAUCUCCUCCUGUUCGAAGCAGAGACGGGAACAGGCACGACGGCGGCGGUGGUCCAGCGAGGACGUCGACGGGGCAAGACGAGGAGGCCGGGAAUGAUCAGAUCGGCACGUGGGGAACUCGGAUCCGGCGACGGUCGCAGUCAACGCUCGAGGACGAGCGCUGUGCAACACUGCUCGACCUGAAGCAGAGGAGAUGCACGGGAAGCAGUGCAUCGAUGGUGCGGGCGGCGAUGUGACUUGCUCCGGCGGGGUUUGCAGGUCGGGAGGCGCGGGGAGGACCGGGAACGGUGGAGAUGCGGUUCCAUGGCGGCGAUUUCGAC
rnacentral:lncRNA from 1 species